GAGUGAAAACUGACGGGAGAAGAGAAGAAAAGGGGAGGAAGAAGAGAAAAGAGGGAAAGAUAAGGAAAGGAGAAGAGAAUUGGAGGAAAUAAGUUUAAAGGUAAGAUUAUGUAUAAAUAUGUGUUCUUUAAGCUUUAAGUUCUGUUUUGAUAAAUGUUAGGGUUUUGAAUAUUGUGUUUUGAGUUUGAUUGAUGAAUUAAUUGGAAGGUUAUGAGUUGAUUGUUGUGGGUAAUUGGUUAAUUAGUUGAUUGUGAAAGAUUAGAGGUAAAGAUGAUGAUUUUGAGUUAUGAUUUUAUUUGAAUGGUGAAAUUGUGUUAGAAAUCAGGAGAUGACAGUAGGUAAUCUGUGAAAUUCUGGGUUUGAGGUUGAAGAUGACGAAAAUUCAAUUUGGUCCCUCAAUUUGUGAAAUUACAGUUUAGUCCCUAAACUUUGGGAAAAUUAUAAUUUGACCCCUAAUUGUAUCUUGAGAUUCUGGACAGUGUUAUUAUGAGGUUAAGGAUGAUGAAUCUGAGUUUGAUAAUUGAUUUGGAAUAUUUUCAGUUUGGUCCCUCAAUUUCGGGAAUUUACAUUUUAGUCCCUGAACUUUAUGAAAAUUACAGUUCGGUCCCUGGUUCGUUCUAGACAGAAUUAAGGAUGGUUUAUGGGUGAAAAUUCAGUAUAGUUAUGUAUUUUCCAGAUUGGUCCAAUUUUGGUAAAAUUACGUUUUGGUCCCUGUUUUGGAAAAUUGUCGUUUUAGUCCAUAAACUUAGGAGAAUAAACCUGAUUUUAUUUUAUGCAUUGGGAUCUCUUGUUUGAGUUGCUUUUGAGUAUUUUUCAUAUUGUUGUAGGUUCUCCUAACAAUCCUCAAUAGGAUUUUCGGGUCUUUCGUCUGACAUUCCUUUAGUUCUAUAUUUUUCGGGUGAGUGGGAUAAUCUUUAAUAUGCAUAUAUGAUAAGUAAAUAUGUAUGUUGAUUAUACAAUGAGUACAACUCGUUAAUUUCUUGAAUAAUUAUAUAUGUUGCUUAUUUUCCGAGUACUCAUUUAUUCUUGAAUUUGCACUCGCAAUCUGUCAAAGUAAAUUCUAUUUGAUAUGAUAUACGUUUCUUUGAUGAUUAUGUGAAUAUCUAUUAUGCCUUGAUAUGGGACUUGUCAGUAACUCCAUGCUAACGGAGAGUAGUUAGCCUAUGUGCAUAUAGUAUUUUGUAAACCUAGCUGGUGAGAGAGGCAUCAGCCUGUGGCGACUGAUCAUCCCACAGUGGUCACCUUCGGGUGUCAUCUGGUCUGGUCACCUUCGGGUGUCAUCUGGUCACCUUUGGGUGUCAUCUGAUCUCUGACAUGUAGUCCACUACGUUAUGAUGAUAUGUUUAGUAUGUAUAUGAUAUGUUCAGUAUGUAUAUGUAUAUGUAUAUCAAGAUAAAGGAUCUUGCGAACUAUUAAUAUCAAGAAUAUCUAAAAUGUAUAUUAAUUAUUAUUCCCUCACUGAGUUGGUUGAACUCACCCCUCAUUCUUAAUAUUAUUUCAGGUUCUUAGUUUCUGAUAGCAGGUGAACCUUGUUGAGUGUUCCUGCUUCUUCAGUUUAGGGUCGGUAUGCCUUGCUUAUCUUUCAAGGCUGUUUGAUUCGAUGUCUUAGGUGCUCCAUUAUUACCUUGUUUUGAUUAAGUUUGGAUUUUGACAACGUAAUGAGUAUUAUGGAUUAUUGUUUUUGUUUUAAUUACUGAUGAGGAGUUUUAAACUAUCUUUUGGUUUCAUCAGUUUUGAAUAAUAUAAGAUUUCUGAAGAUUAUGAAAUACUGCGUAUUUUUGAAUAAAUUAUUCCUUUGAUAUGUCCGUUUUGAGGCUUAGCGCGGGCGGGGUGUCCUUCCGGCACCGCUCCUGCGUUGCCGGUCACGGACCCGGGAUUCGGGUCGUGACAAAGGUGGUAUCAGAGCCCGGUUUUUUAUUAAAACCUCAUAACCUGUUUUAUUUAUUUAAAACCCUCGUAAUAUGUGGAGCUUAGGAUCUAUCUUGUCUUGAUGUCAUUCCUCUUAUAAUUCUCCAAUCUAGUGUUUGGUGUGUCCUCCUUAAAACUCCUUUAUAGUUAUGUUGAUACAUAUAUAUAAAUGCAUUUUUUUUAGGAAAUAUGUCGAGAGCUAAACAUGUAGUUAAUGCCGAUUAUGUCGGUAAUGAUCAAGAGGACAUUCCUAUCGCUCAGCUUAGGAAGGAGAGGCGCAAAAAGAGGGUUAGAACCCCUUCGC
rnacentral:lncRNA from 1 species